rnacentral:rRNA from 1 species
ACAGGGAUUGCCCUAGUAACGGCGAGUGAAGCGGCAACAGCUCAAAUUUGAAAUCUGGCUCUUUUAGGGUCCGAGUUGUAAUUUGCAGAGGGCGCUUUGGCGUUGGCAGCGGUCCAAGUUCCUUGGAACAGGACGUCACAGAGGGUGAGAAUCCCGUACGUGGUCGCUGGCCUUCGCCGUGUAAAGCCCCUUCGACGAGUCGAGUUGUUUGGGAAUGCAGCUCUAAAUGGGAGGUAAAUUUCUUCUAAAGCUAAAUACUGGCCAGAGACCGAUAGCGCACAAGUAGAGUGAUCGAAAGAUGAAAAGCACUUUGGAAAGAGAGUCAAAUAGCACGUGAAAUUGUUGAAAGGGAAGCGCUUGCAGCCAGACUUGCCUGUAGUUGCUCAUCUGGGCUUUUGUCCAGUGCACUCUUCUACAGGCAGGCCAGCAUCAGUUUGGGCGGUUGGAUAAAGGUCUCUGUCACGUACCUCCCUUUGGGGAGGCCUUAUAGGGGAGACGACAUGCAACCAGCCUGGACUGAGGUCCGCGCAUCUGCUAGGAUGCUGGCGUAAUGGCUGUAAGCGGCCCGUCUUGAAACACGGACCAAGGAGUCUAACAUCUAUGCGAGUGUUUGGGUGUCAAGCCCGGACGCGUAAUGAAAGUGAACGGAGGUGGGAACCCUUUUAGGGUGCACCAUCGACCGAUCCUGAUGUCUUCGGAAGGAUUUGAGUAAGAGCAUGGCUGUUGGGACCCGAAAGAUGGUGAACUAUGCUUGAAUAGGGUGAAGCCAGAGGAAACUCUGGUGGAGGCUCGCAGCGGUUCUGACGUGCAAAUCGAUCGUCAAAUUUGGGCAUAGGGGCGAAAGACUAAUCGAACUAUCUAGUAGCUGGUUCCUGCCGAAG